rnacentral:rRNA from 1 species
GAGCGGCGAACGGGUGAGUAACACGUGGGUGAUCUGCCCUGUACUUCGGGAUAAGCCUGGGAAACUGGGUCUAAUACCGGAUAUGACCUCCGACUGCAUGGUUGGUGGUGGAAAGAUUUAUCGGUGCAGGAUGGGCCCGCGGCCUAUCAGCUUGUUGGUGGGGUAAUGGCCUACCAAGGCGACGACGGGUAGCCGACCUGAGAGGGUGACCGGCCACACUGGGACUGAGACACGGCCCAGACUCCUACGGGAGGCAGCAGUGGGGAAUAUUGCACAAUGGGCGGAAGCCUGAUGCAGCGACGCCGCGUGAGGGAUGACGGCCUUCGGGUUGUAAACCUCUUUCGACAGGGACGAAGCGUGAGUGACGGUACCUGUAGAAGAAGCACCGGCCAACUACGUGCCAGCAGCCGCGGUAAUACGUAGGGUGCGAGCGUUGUCCGGAAUUACUGGGCGUAAAGAGCUUGUAGGCGGUUCGUCGCGUCGAUCGUGAAAACUGGCGGCUCAACUG